rnacentral:rRNA from 1 species
AAAUUGAAGAGUUUGAUCAUGGCUCAGAUUGAACGCUGGCGGCAGGCCUAACACAUGCAAGUCGAGCGGUAGCACAGAGAGCUUGCUCUCGGGUGACGAGCGGCGGACGGGUGAGUAAUGUCUGGGAAACUGCCUGAUGGAGGGGGAUAACUACUGGAAACGGUAGCUAAUACCGCAUAAUGUCGCAAGACCAAAGUGGGGGACCUUCGGGCCUCAUGCCAUCAGAUGUGCCCAGAUGGGAUUAGCUAGUAGGUGGGGUAAUGGCUCACCUAGGCGACGAUCCCUAGCUGGUCUGAGAGGAUGACCAGCCACACUGGAACUGAGACACGGUCCAGACUCCUACGGGAGGCAGCAGUGGGGAAUAUUGCACAAUGGGCGCAAGCCUGAUGCAGCCAUGCCGCGUGUGUGAAGAAGGCCUUCGGGUUGUAAAGCACUUUCAGCGGGGAGGAAGGCGGUGAGGUUAAUAACCUCAUCGAUUGACGUUACCCGCAGAAGAAGCACCGGCUAACUCCGUGCCAGCAGCCGCGGUAAUACGGAGGGUGCAAGCGUUAAUCGGAAUUACUGGGCGUAAAGCGCACGCAGGCGGUCUGUCAAGUCGGAUGUGAAAUCCCCGGGCUCAACCUGGGAACUGCAUUCGAAACUGGCAGGCUAGAGUCUUGUAGAGGGGGGUAGAAUUCCAGGUGUAGCGGUGAAAUGCGUAGAGAUCUGGAGGAAUACCGGUGGCGAAGGCGGCCCCCUGGACAAAGACUGACGCUCAGGUGCGAAAGCGUGGGGAGCAAACAGGAUUAGAUACCCUGGUAGUCCACGCCGUAAACGAUGUCGAUUUGGAGGUUGUGCCCUUGAGGCGUGGCUUCCGGAGCUAACGCGUUAAAUCGACCGCCUGGGGAGUACGGCCGCAAGGUUAAAACUCAAAUGAAUUGACGGGGGCCCGCACAAGCGGUGGAGCAUGUGGUUUAAUUCGAUGCAACGCGAAGAACCUUACCUGGUCUUGACAUCCACAGAACUUUCCAGAGAUGGAUUGGUGCCUUCGGGAACUGUGAGACAGGUGCUGCAUGGCUGUCGUCAGCUCGUGUUGUGAAAUGUUGGGUUAAGUCCCGCAACGAGCGCAACCCUUAUCCUUUGUUGCCAGCGGUUCGGCCGGGAACUCAAAGGAGACUGCCAGUGAUAAACUGGAGGAAGGUGGGGAUGACGUCAAGUCAUCAUGGCCCUUACGACCAGGGCUACACACGUGCUACAAUGGCAUAUACAAAGAGAAGCGACCUCGCGAGAGCAAGCGGACCUCAUAAAGUAUGUCGUAGUCCGGAUUGGAGUCUGCAACUCGACUCCAUGAAGUCGGAAUCGCUAGUAAUCGUAGAUCAGAAUGCUACGGUGAAUACGUUCCCGGGCCUUGUACACACCGCCCGUCACACCAUGGGAGUGGGUUGCAAAAGAAGUAGGUAGCUUAACCUUCGGGAGGGCGCUUACCACUUUGUGAUUCAUGACUGGGGUGAAGUCGUAACAAGGUAACCGUAGGGGAACCUGCGGUUGGAUCACCUCCUUA